rnacentral:rRNA from 1 species
CUAAAUUAAUAUAAUCAGUAAUUUAACAUUAUAAAAUUACGAUUCACAAUCAAUUCCAACCUAACAAUAUUUUUACUUACCAUAUCUAAAGUCUUUAUAUAAAAGGUAAUAAAAUUUGUGCCAGCAAUUGCGGUUAAACAAUAACCCUAAUUAAAUUUCCUCUAAUUACCAUUUUAUUAAAAAAAUACUAAUUAAUAGUAAAAUAUAAUUAAACAUAACUUGUUAGUAAUUUUAAACUUUAAAUAAACUAGGAUUAGAUACCCUACUAUUUUAAGAAAUAUUAAGGUAGUAACCUUUAUAGAAAAACCUAUAUAUUUUGGCGGCGAAAAAUCUUAAAGGAACUUGUUUUUUAAUCGAUAAUACUCGUUAAAUUUCUCCUUACCACAAAGCUUAUAUACCGCCGUAUUAAAUAAACUUUACACACUUUCAUUUAAACUUCUUUUAAAAAAUCAGGUCAAGGUGUAGCCAAUACUAAGUGAUAAAAUUAGUUACUUAUAAAAAAAUUUAUAGAAUAAAUAUAAAUAUUAAAAAAAUAGGAUUUAAACACAAUUUAUUAUUAAUAUUUAUAAAUGAAAUUCAAUUAUCGUGCACAUAUCGCCCGUCACCCUCUAUAAACACAGAGGUAAGUCGUAACACAGUUGAUGCUCUGGAAAGAGCCUCAUGCUC